CUUUUAUCCAUAGAGAAUAGCAGAUUGCCAUUACCAGAAUUGUUAAGGAACUGGCACAUGGUGAGAUACAUAAUUUGCAUUUUUGCAUUUUCAAAGAACCUUUUAAAUUGUGAUGUUGUACUUAAAAGUAUGGGUGGUUCAGGCUACCAAGUUUAAUGCAACGCACGCAUCUAUCACUUAACUGAGUACAUUUCAGCUAGUUACAUAGCCUUUCUGGCCUCAGAAUCUUCAUUUUUUAAUGGGAAUUAUAAUAUUAUCAAGUUCAAAGGAUUUGGAAAUGAAUAAUAUAUGUGGAGUCGAUAGGAUAGUGCUUGACACGUAUGUCCUCAAGUAACAGCAGCUGUUAGAACGUAAACUUUUUUGGGGGGUCAGGAGUAUACGUAUUACCUGAAGUUUAAUGAAAUUAGACCCAUCUUCACUUUUUCAACUUUAAGUUAAAUCCAAGUAACUACGAAAUACAAGUGUAUAUUUUUGUCUUAGCUCUCUAAUAGCAUUUUACUUAAUUUUUCUACAUAUAUUCUCAUUUAUUAUCCUUCCUCUAAUGCUGUGCCCAUCCUGAUGUUUUAGAUUAAAAAGUGGAAUUUUCUGGGGUUGUUUAAAGAAUUUUAAUGUAAAAGCAUGGUAAUUCAAGUGCUGUUUACCAUUUACAGAGUUAUUGAUAUGUGAUAUAGCAAUUAAUAUUUCCAUGACAAAACCAUAAGGAAUUGCACAGGGAAGGACAUUAAGGAUAAGAAAGAGUGAUUUACUUAAGUCACAGAUCAGAGUCUUGUUAUUACAAAUAUGUAUGUCCACUUAAUUUUCUCUAAGUGCGUUUGAUGUCAUAAAUAGCAUUAGAUGUCUGCAUCAGACUUGUUCGGAAUAUGUAAAUGGCUGAUGUUCUGAACUGCUUUAACUCUAGUUGUUGUGAUCUUGUAUCUCUCUUUAAAAUGAACCACAUUACUAAGAUAACUGACAAGAGAAGGUCAGGCCUCCAUCAGGAGAGACACAGGCGGAAAUAGAGAAAAGUUAUUUUUUUUAGUAAGAAAUAGUAAGAGUAUUAAGCUUAAGAUGUUGAGGAAAUAAUAUGGAAAUAUUAAUUGCUAUAUCACAUAUUGAUGACUCUGAAAAUGGUAAACAGCACUUGAAUUACCAUGCUCCUACAUCAGAAAUCUUUAAACAACCCUAGAAAAUUCCGCUUCUUAAUCUAAAACAUCAGGAUGGGCAUAGCAGAACAAUAUUGAGGGGAGACAAAAGGAUCUGAAAUCUGAAGAGAACAUGUUUUCCAGACUGUCAUGGAAAAGAAUAUGCUUAGCUAGAUAGACAAAGAAUAAAUUUUUAUGGCUGAGGUAAAUAAUAAUCCUGGGUCAAAAAUACAGUGGAUUUAAAGAAUUUACCAGAGGGAGGGUAAUCAAGAAUGAGAUUUUAAUCUAUUCUUUUAAUUUGUAAUAACAAUAUUUAUUUAGAAAAAUGUAUGCAAAUGUGACAUAUGUACAUACACAUAAAUUCAUCUAAAAUUUACUGCAUGAAAUAUAAUUAAAAAUCACUACUGAUAAUAAUCCUAUUAUUAAUUCUUCAUAUAGUUUUGAAUGUUAUACAUACUUCAAAGUUGAAUGAGGAAUUUCUAUUAUUUUCAGAACAAUUGAUGCUAGAAUUAGUUCAUUGCCAAAAUGAAUGGGAAGGAAAUAGUGGGCAUUGGGGAUAGUGAGGAGGCAAAAUCCCCAAGGUCACAGCCCCACAGGAUGGCCUAGAGCCCACAGUUCAUGGCCAUGAGGAGCCUCAAGCAACCUCUGCUGCAGCUCCAGCAUAUUAAAGAGUAUGGCUAUCAAGAAAGAAAAGACCAUGGAAUCUUCUGGGAGAAAUAUGAACAGAAUAAGCUGCUUCCUCUAGGAGUACAUGAGGUUAAAAUUGAUCAAAGUGAGAGAAUAGGGAGGACUGGGUCCAUGAUACAACUAAUCAUGGAAGUUUUGAAAUAGUUUAAAAAUUUUAGUCUAAGAUUCUGUGUUAUGUUGUCAUAUUAGUUCACCCAUGCACUAUUUUCUACUGUUUCCCUUCUAGAUCUUAAAAUGAUAUUAAAAUGUCUGUACAAAUCUGUACUUAUUGCAAGUUUUUGUUUUUCACAUUUAACAUAUUGUAAAAAUGCUUUACCAUCUAUGUAGUCAUAAUAUUAAUAUUUUAUUCACAGUAUCAUUCCUAAGUUGUAGUAGUCUGAUUUACAUAAACACCUUCCUCUUAUUAAACGUUUUAGAUAUUUCUAAAUUGUCGUUAUUAUAAGUGAAACAACAUAAUUUUCCAUUAUGAAACUUAACACUUCAUUUCACUUUUAGAAUAAUUUUUAGGAUUGGGGUUACUAGGAGAGCGAAUACAAACAUGUUCAUGAUUCUGGAAAGAUUUGGUAAAAUAUUUUCCAAAAUAUUAGAUUCAUGAAGCAGCUUCAUUACAAUUUUAGAAUUGAUAUAAUUAAAAAACCCAUGAUUUUAACAAUAAAUAUUUUAUUUUUAUGGUGUAUUCAAUUUUCUAGCUCACUGUAUGUGUAGACGCUUCUUAAAAAUAAUGCUGACACCAACAUUUCAUAUCUUCCUUUUGAUUUAUACACUGCAAAGCACAUUUAUAAUAAUUGUCUUAUUUGACUCUUAAUGGAUCAGGCAGCUUGGACAAGUGUUACUGUAUCUAUUUUAUGGGAGAGGAUGCUGAGGCUUAGUGGUUUCUUCAAUGACACAUGGAAAUUAAGUGGUGAAGAUGGGAUUGUUAACAUUUUGAUAGCAGAAACUGAACAAUUACUAUAUUAUUUUUGUUUAACUUUCUAUUUUGGAGUAACAGGACAUUUGCAAAGAUAGUACAAAGAGUUUCUGUACACUCCUCACUUAUUUUCCCCUAAUAUUGUGAUUUGAUAUUACCAUGCUCACAGUCGUCAAAAUGGUAAAAUGAGCAUUGAUAUAUUAUUCUUAAUGAAACACCACAUUUUAUUUAUAUUUCACUAAUUUCUUCACUACUGUCCCUUUUCUGCUCUAGGAUUCAAUCCAAUACAUCGCAUUUCACUUAAAACAAUUAUUUUUUAAAUAACUUAAAAUCAUAAACCUUGUGAUUAUAAACCAUGGGGACAUUGUACUCUCCAUUGUCAAAGUUUUUUUUAACUUUUUAUUGAGAUUAUGAUAGUUUACAACCUUAUGAAAUUCACUUGUACAUUAUUGUCUGUCAGUCGUGUGGUAGGUGUACCACUUCACCCUUUGUUCCCACUCCCCACAGCUUUUCCUUGGUAGCCACUAAUCUGUUCUCUUUGUCUACAUGUUUAACUUCCACCUAUGAGUGGAGUCAUACAGAGAUUGUCUUUCUCUAUCUGGCUUAUUUCACUUAACAUAAUUCCCUCAAGGUCCAUCCAUGUUGUUGUGAAUGGGACGAUUUUAUCGUUUUUUGUGGCUGUAUAGUAUUCCAUUGUGUAUAUAUAUAUAUAUAUAUAUAUAUAUAUAUAUAUAUCUCAUAUCUUCUUUAUCCAAUCAUCAGUUGAUGGGCACUUAGGUUGCUUCCACAUCUUGGCUAUUGUAAAUAAUGCUGCAAUGAACAUAGGGGUGCAUGGAACUUUUGGAAUUGCGGAUUUCAAGUUCUUUGGAUAGAUACCCAGUAGUGGGAAGGCUGGGUCAUGUGGUAUUUCCAUUUUUACUUUUUGAGAAGUCUCCAUACUGUUUUCCAUAGUGGCUGAACCAGUUUGCAUUCCCACCAAUAGUGUAUGAAGGUUCCUUUUCCUCCUCAACCUCUCCAACAUUUGUUACUUUUUGUUUGCUUAUUUUUGCCAUUCUAAUGGGUAUAAGGUGAUAUCUUAGUGUACUUUUGAUUUGCAUUUCCCUGAUGAUCAGUGAUGAUGAACAUCUUUUCAUGUACCUAUUGGCCAUCUGUGUAUCUUCUUUGGAGAAAUGUCUGUUUAUGUCUCCUGCCCAUUUUUUGAUCAUGUUAUUUGAUUUUUUGUUGUUGAGUUGUGUGAGUUCUUUAUAUAUCAUGGAGAUUAACUCUUUGUCGGAUAUAUGACUUGCAAAUUUUUUUUUCCAAUUAGUGGUUUGUUUUUUUGUUUCAAUCCUGUUUUCCCUUGCCUUAAAGAAGAUUUUUAGUGUGAUGAAGUCUCAUUUGUUUAUGCUUUCUAUUGUUUCCCUUGUCUGAGAAGACAUGGUGUCUGAAAAGAUCCUUUUAAUACUGAUGUCAAAGAGUGUACUGCCUAUAUUUUCUUCUAGAAGCCUUAAUGUUUCAGGUCUUACCUUUAGGUCUUUGAUUCAUCUUGAAUUUAUUUUUGUGAAUGGUGAAAAAGAAUGGUCAAUUUUCAUUCUUUUACAUGUGGCUGUCCAGUUCUCCCAGCAGCAUUUGUUGAAGAGACUUUCUUUUCUCCAUUGUAUGCCCUCAGCUCCUUUGUCAAAGAUUAGCCGUCCAUAGAUGUGUGGUUUUAUUUCUGGGAUUUCAAUUCUGUUCCAUUGAUCUGUAUACCUGUUAUUGUAACAGUAUCAUGCUGUUUUGAUUACUGUAGCUUUGUAGUAUGUUUUGAAGUCAGGGAUUGUGAUGCCUCCAGCUCGUUCUUUCUUCUCAGCAUUGCUUUAGCAAAUCGGUGUGUUUUGUUGCCCCAUAUGAAGUUUAGGAUUCUUUGUUCUACUUCUGUCAAGAACGUCAUUGGGAUUCUGAUUGGGAUAACGUUGAAUCUGUAGAUUGCUUUAGGUAGAAUGGACAUUUUAACUAUGUUUAUUCUUCCAAUCCAUGUGCAUGAAAUGUCUUCCCAUCUCUUUAUGUUGUCAUCAAUUUCUUUCAGGAAAUUUGUGUAGUGUUCAUUGUAUAGGUCUUUCACUUCCUUAGUAAAAUUCACCCCAAGGCAUUUUAUUCUUUUUUGUUCUGAUUGUGAAUGGGGUUGUGUUCUUGAGUUCUUUUUCUGUUUGUUCAUUAUUAGAGUAUAGAAAUGUUACUAAUUUAUGUAAGUUGAUUUUAUACUCUGCAACUUUGCUGUAGUUGUUGAUUAUUUCUAAAAGUUUUCCAAUGGCUUAUUUGGGGUUUUCUAUAUAUAAGAUCAUGUUGUCUGCAAACAGCGAGAGUUUCACUGCUUCACUCCCUAGUUGGAUUUCUUUUAUUCCUUUCUCUUGCCUAAUUGCUUUGGCCAAAACCUCCAGUACUAUGUUGAAUAAGAGUGGUGAUAGAGGGCAUGCUUGUCUCAUUCCUGUUCUCAGGGGGAUGACACUCGGUUUUUGCCCAUUGAGUAUGAAGUUGGCUGUGGGUUUGUCAUAUAUGGCUUUUAUUAUGUUGAGGUAAUUUUCUUCUAUCCCCAUUUUGUUAAGAGGUUUCUUUUUUUUUAAUCAUAAAUGGCUGUUGGAUCUUGUCAAAUGAUUUCUCUGCAUCUAUUGAGAUGAUCAUGUGGUUUUUAUUCCUCAAGUUGUUGAUGUGGUAUAUCACGUUGAUUGAUUUGUGGAUGUGGAACCAUCCCUGUGUCCCUGGUAUGAAUCCCACUUGAUCACGAUAUAUGAUCCUUUUGAUGUAUUGCUGAAUUCGGGUUGCCAAAAUUUUGUUGAGAAUUUUUGCAUCUAUGUUCAUCAGCGAUAUUGGCCUGUAGUUCUCCUUUUUUGUACUAUCCUUGUCAGGCUUUGGUAUCAGAGUGAUGUUGGCCUCAUAGAAUGUGUUAGGAAGUGUUCCAUCCUCCAUAAUUUUUUGGAAUAGCUUGAAAAGGACAGGUAUUAAAUCUUCUCUGAAUGUUUGUAGAAUUCCCCAGGAAAGCUGUCUGGUCUUGGGGUUUUAUUCUUUGGGAUGCUUUUGAUUGUUGUUUCAUUCUCUUUCCUUGUUAUUUUUCUGUUCAGCUUGUCUGUUUCUUCUUCACUUAGCUUUGGGAGGUUGUAAGAGUCUAAGAAUUUAUCCAUUUCCUCUAGGUUAUCAUUUUGUUGGCAUAAAUUUUUUGCAGUACUCUCUUAUAAUCCGUUGUAUUUCUGUGGGGUCUGUCGUUAUUUCUCCUCUUUCCUUGCUGAUUUUGUUUAUUUGAGCUUUCUCUCUUUUUUGCUUUGUAAGUCUGGCUAGGGGGUUGUCAAUUUUAUUUAUCUUCUCAAAGAACCAGCUGUUCUUUUCAUUGAUCCUCUCAAUCUUUUUUGUUUCAAUAGCUGCCGGGAUCUGUGGCUACAUCAUUUGAUCUGCUGUGUGACAGGGUCCAGCUGAUUAAUGCUGAGGGGUGCAGGGUUGCCCUUUGGUGAAGAAUAACUGGUUGGACCCUCACAUAGUUCUGAAACCUGUGCUGCUUCUAAUUGCCCUUCAUUCCUUUUCCUUUCUUAACCUCCAGUUUUCACUCCUUUUGGUGGCUGCUUGGGAGGCACUACCUCCCAGGAGAAUUAAAUAUGGUAAGAGAAUGUGACCACCUGGAGGUAACUUUCAAGAUAUUUUUCUGAGAGCUAAUUUCGUUUGAUGCAGUUAAUUAAUGGAGGAGCACACAGUCCCUUUUGAGACAAGCAGAAAGGAAUCCUGCCCAGAUAAGAUGUCGAAUUAGGUUUAUGGCCUCCAUCUGGUUAAUGUUUCCUUCUUCCUCCAGUUCUUUGUCUAAAUAUAUAUACAUCAUCUUUCCAAGUUUGCUGGUUAAUUGGAUGAUCAAGAAGUAUCUAUAUAUUAUUCUUGACCUUCUGCUUUCUGUUAAAAUGCUACAGAGGUUUUCUCCUAAAAGCAAUAAAUAAUAAAUAAUUGCUGAGUAGAAGGGCCGAAGGGUGCAGGGAUGCCCCUUGGUGAAGAAUGGCCAGCCGACACCCCUGAUAUUUUCUGAAAUGUAUGCAUGCUUUCUAUCAAGGUUAUGACUAUACUUAUUUCUGCUUUUUAUUCUUGAAGAUAUAUAGUUUAGCUUAGCUUUCCAGCCCUUUACUUUACUAACAAAAUGAUAUUUUCUCCAGGCAGUGUGCUCAAGGGACUGUGAGCUCUGCAAUCUAAAAGACAAAGGGGUGCUUUCACCCCCUAAAGAGCGCGGGAAUGUAAAGAUGUUUAACUGCUCGCUGAGAAUGCAAAUAGCCCUGGGAAUAAGACACCCUGGAGUCACCUUUUGUUCCCAUUAACCAUCUACACUAAUGGCGUAAAUGAUUGAGAGAGGCAGGGAUGGCUCCUGAGGAUGUAAACAGAUGGAAUGCUGUCCUGUCCGGAGGCCUGGACCUUCUCUCUUUGAUUUAACUUUACCAUGAAUUACAACAGAUGUCAAGGUACUUAUCUCUUUUAGCUUAGAGACAACAAACACUAGUUACUUGUGGAGAAGACGAUCAUUAACCUUAUGCUCUAUAGAAUAGAAUGCUAAUAAAUAUUCUUGUGUUCGUUUUUUACUUCCUUAUCUCUCUGAGAAUAUUUGUAGAGCUAUUUCUGUACUAAUCCUGAAAAAUAUAAAAACGACACUUGUGCUCAGUAAAGUUGGACUUGCUAACACCAACCCAAGUCUCACGUCCUUUUCAUUUCCCUCAUUGCGCCACCGCCAUCCAUCCCUCAGGAACCUGGACUCAGCAGGGGCAGGACUCCAGCAAAUAGCAUUUAUUUGUGCUCUGAUUUUUAAUAUUUCUCUCUUUCUACUAACUCUGGGCUUUGUUUGUUCUUCUUUUUCUAAUUCAGUUAGGUGUACUUUGAGAUUGCUCAUUUGGGACUUUUCUUGUUUGUUAAGGUGUACCUGUAUUGUGAUGAAUUUCCCUCUUAAUACAGCUUUUGCUGUAUCCCAUAUCAGUUGGUAUGGCAUGUUAUCAUUUUCAUUUUUCUCUAGAUAUUUUUUGAUUUCUUCUUUAAUUAAUUCAGUGAUCCAUUGCUUAUUCAAUAGAAUAUUGUUUAUUCUCCACAUCUUUGUCCCUUUCUCACCCUUUUUCUUAUAAUUAAUUUCUAGCUUUAGAGCGUUAUGAUUGGAGGAGAUGCUUGUUAUUAUUUCAAUUUUUUUUUAAUUUAUAGAGGCUUUCCUUGUUUCCCAACAUAUGGUCUAUUCUUGAGCAUGUUCCAUGCAGACAUGAGAAGAAUGUGAAUUCUGCUGUUUUUGGAUGAAGUGUUCUAUAUAUGUCUAUUAAGUCCAACUGUUUUAGAUUUUUGUUUAAUUCCAUUGUUUCCUUGUUGAUUUUCUGUAUGGAUGAUCUGUCCAAUGAUGUGAGUGGGCUGUUGAGUUCCCCUACUAUUAUUGUGUUAUUUUUGAUGUCUUCUUUUAGGUUUGUUAAUAGCUGCUGUAUGAACUUUGGUGCUCCUGUGUUGGGUGCAUAGAUAUUUAUAAGCAUUAUUUCUUCUCAAUGUAGAGUCCCUUUGAUCAUUAUAUAUUGCCCCUCUUUCUCUUACUUGCCUUAUCUUGAAAUCUACUUUGUCUGAUAUAAGUAUUGCAACAUCUUCUUUCUUUUGUUUGCCAUUAGCUUGGAGUAUCAUCUUCCACUCCUUCACUCUGAGCCUGUAUUUGUCAUUGGAGCUGAGAUGUGUUUCCUGGAGGAAACAAACUGUUGGAUCUUGUUCUUUAAUCCAUCUUGCCACUCUGUGUCUUUUUAUUGGAAAGUUCAGUCAGUUUACAUUCAGGGUGAUUAUUGAUUAACACUGUCAUUUUGUCACUCGUUUUCCAGUUUUCCUGCAUUUCCUUUGUUUCUCAUCCUGUGUGUUUUGGUCUACCCAUUGAUUUCUGCAGUUUCUUAUGCUGUAUUUCUUAGUUUUUUCUUUCUUUAUUUUUUGUGUCUCUCUUCUGCUUUCUAGUUUAGUGGCUACCCUGAAGUUUGUAUUCAGAAUCUCAUGCAUAACAUAGUCCAUUUUCUGAUGGCCUCUUAUUUCCUUAGUCUAAGCCGAUUCAGUCCCUUUUCUCCUCCCCUCCUAAUUAUUAUUCUUAUAUUUUAUUCCAACUUGUGUUUUGAGUUGGUGGUUAAAGUGACAAGAUUGUCUUUGUUUUGUGUUUUCCUUCCCUUUAGCCU
rnacentral:lncRNA from 1 species